rnacentral:rRNA from 1 species
AGGAUGAACGCUGGCGGCGUGCUUAACACAUGCAAGUCGAACGAUUAAAGCCUUACUUCGGUAAGGUGUAUACAGUGGCGAACGGGUGAGUAACACGUGAGCAACCUGCCCCUUUCUGUGGAAUAACUGCUGGAAACAGCGGCCAAUACCGCAUACUCCGCACACAUCGCAUGGUAUGUGCGGGAAAGUUUUUUCGGAAAGGGAUGGGCUCGCGGCCCAUUAGCUUGUUGGCGGGGUAACGGCCCACCAAGGCGAUGAUGGGUAGCCGGACUGAGAGGUCGACCGGCCACAUUGGGACUGAGACACGGCCCAGACUCCUACGGGAGGCAGCAGUGGGGAAUUUUGCGCAAUGGGGGAAACCCUGACGCAGCAACGCCGCGUGCGGGAUGAAGGCCUUCGGGUUGUAAACCGCUUUCAGUAGGGAAGAGACAAGACUGUACCUACACAAGAAGCUCCGGCUAAAUACGUGCCAGCAGCCGCGGUAAUACGUAUGGAGCAAGCGUUAUCCGGAUUCAUUGGGCGUAAAGCGCGCGUAGGCGGAUUGUUAAGUCGGUUGUUAAAUCCCAAAGCUCAACUUUGGUUCGCAUCCGAUACUGGCAGUCUUGAGUCGUAGAGGAGAGG